rnacentral:rRNA from 1 species
UACGAAGGGGGCUAGCGUUGCUCGGAAUCACUGGGCGUAAAGGGCGCGUAGGCGGCCAUUCAAGUCGGGGGGUGAAAGCCUGUGGCUCAACCACAGAAUUGCCUUCGAUACUGUUUGGCUUGAGUAUGGUAGAGGUCAGUGGAACUGCGAGUGUAGAGGUGAAAUUCGUAGAUAUUCGCAAGAACACCAGUGGCGAAGGCGGCUGACUGGACCAUUACUGACGCUGAGGCGCGAAAGCGUGGGGAGCAAACAGG